CGAGGCUGUGACCCAUAACAGUGCCCACAUAACGGAGGAGCCACCAGACCCCUUGGCCAUGCCUGCCGUAGUGCAACGUGUAAUCUGGAUGGUCGGGUCAGGUACACCUAGGAAAUGUUGUAUACAUUGGCAACGAUAACUGGGGCCUGCUCCAGUGCCAUCGCCGGGAUUCCCUGUUCUGCAAAGAACUGGCAUAACUGAUGUGGGGAGCCCUGGCGCUCGGCGUAGGAGCGUCACAGGGGCUCCUUGUCGGUGCUUGAAGGACGGCAGUGCUGUUGAGAAGCCGACAUUGAGCCCCGAUAAAUUGGAAGCUGUGGGUAGUUACCGCAUUAUUGGCUUGGAAACUAGUGAGGUCUGGAUGCAAGUGAAGCUACCGAGGGAGGCAUGUGUGCA